rnacentral:lncRNA from 1 species
ACAUGAGCAGUGCUGGCAUGAAAUUCUACCUAUAUAUACACAAGGUCGGUGGGACAUCCAUGAGAUGGAAAAGAAUGAAGGCCAGGCUUGAUGGGUUCCUGGACAGAUCUAGAGGUUGGCAACCCUGCUCAAGGUAGAGGGCUUGGAACUAGAUAAUCUGUGAGGUCCCUUCCAACCCAAGCCAUUCUAUGAUUCCAUGAUUUUCUGGGCCAAAUACUGGAAUGAAUCAAACCUGAUCAUCCCAGGCUGCAGACCUGAGUGGUGCAGACAAGGAUUCUAAACACCAAAGGGGAUGACAGAAAUAUUAAGGAUAUGUCAGAAAUUUAACAGCUGUCUAGAAAGUAUUUCAUCUGUAGCAAGA